CCCAGGGUUCACACCCUGGGCUAUUCUCUUCCGCCCCGUUGGGGCU
rfam:Fimbriiglobus ruber strain SP5 contig08, whole genome shotgun sequence.